CUGAGACAUCUGUCACCCCACUGACUGCCACAGUUGACUCAACUGAUCUGGCUUGCGAGGUGGGUGUCU
rnacentral:snRNA from 1 species